rnacentral:lncRNA from 1 species
ACUCGCCCCAGACACUUCUGUCAUUUGUUGGGGUGACUAAGGAUUCUUUCAACUGUCCUCUCAUAUCCGACGUGUUCUGUAGGACAAAGCGAUGUUCGGGUUCUGGGUGAGGUGAGCAAGUCAGGCUGUACCCAAAACCAUCUGCAUAUGAGCAUUUCUCGUAUUUGCCUAGAAAGAUCCCGGAAGGGCCUAAAAAGACCUCGCAGCCUCCAGUAACUUAUUAUCCCCAUGCAUUCUGAUUAUCAUCUUUCAAGCCAAUGACUCCCAAGGACUGUCCCCGGCUCAGAACAUGGGUUCCCCUCUAAGUCCCAUAUUUUGCCUGCAGGAACCCCCCCCCAGGAACCUUGAAUUCGCAGGUCCAGAUGAAAACUCGGGAUCUGAAACAUAACAUCUGUUCCUCUGACCCACUUCUGAGGAGAUGGCAUCACCAUAGCCAGAAAUGGGUGUCUGUGGUCCCCAUCCAGCUCCAUCAACAUCCACCCUAAGCCCUUGAUGAUUUGUAAUCAGUGACAGUCCCAAGAACCAGCUGCUUUCUCCACCUGAGCCCCCUCACAUCCCUUCCUCCAUCCCCCACUUAGACCUCGCACCUCCUCAGGGUGGGUGUGAGUUCCUGGAGCCUUCUCAGCCUGCAGGUACAACGGAUUGAGACAAGCUGUGUCUUCUGCUCCUCAGCACGGGAUCGAACUUGGGACCUUGUGCUUGCAAGGCAGGCGCCAGAACCACUGAGCUAAAUCCCCAGCCCAAAGAGUAGGUACUUUUUAAGAUUUCCAUAGACACUAAAUAUUGCUUCCCAAAGAACAUGUACCCAUCUCUAACGCAGCCACUAGAAUAUGAAGAUUGUGCCGGGCGUGGUGGCACACCUGUAAUCCUACCACUCAGGAGGCUGAGGCAGGAGGAUCACCAGGAGAUCAAGGCCAGCCUGGACUACAUAGGGAAAUCCUGUCACAGCCAAACAGACAAAAAUAUGAAGAUUGUUCCUCUGUCAUGAAUACCACCAAUCAACAAGCUCUGGGGAUUGAAUCGGGAUUUACACCCACUAGGCCAGCACUCUGCCACAAAGACUCAUCCCCAGCCCUUCCCUCCUGCUUGUUUCCUUGAUUCAUUGACCUUCAUUGAUCUUUGGAGGCCUUUAGACUUUUUUUUUGUUACUGGGCAUCAAACUCAGGACCUUGUGCUUGCCAGUCAG